rnacentral:rRNA from 1 species
UACAGAGGUGGCUAGCGUUGUUCGGAUUUAUUGGGCGUAAAGGGUCCGUAGGCGGCCCGGAAAGUCGGAUGUGAAAUCCCACAGCUCAACUGUGGAACUGCAUUCGAAACUCCCGGACUAGAGUGUGAGAGGGGUAAAGGGAAUUCCCGGUGUAAGGGUGAAAUCUGCAGAGAUCGGGAGGAACACCAGUCGCGAAGGCGCUUUACUGGCUCACUACUGACGCUCAGGGACGAAAGCUAGGGGAGCAAACGGG